ensembl:processed_transcript
CCAGUAUGUGUUGCCAGAGAGCACAGCAGGUCAGGCAAGGCAGAGGCAGACAUAUGUUGGACGACCCCCACUUAGACCCAAAGCACCAGUACAGACCCAGGUCAUAUUUACACCACCAGCACCUGGAGCAUCGCUGCAGAUGGUACCCAACAUAUACAUCCCAGCUACACCAGGGUACCAGGGUAUGCCGAUGUUUCAGGGUGUACCAAUGUUCCAGGCUGUGCCAAUGGUCCAGGGAAUCCCUAUGGCCCAGGGUAUCCCGAUGAUGCAAGGAGUGCAGAUGGCCCAGGGUAUCCCAAUGGUGCAGGGGAUGCCACUCAGACAGCCACCCCUUCAGCCAACAAUGUCCAGUACCAGCUCACAGCCUGCUGCAUCACCGUCCACAUCUGGAGCCAUUCCCAAAAGACCGUACCGGAGAACUGUUCAAGCGAACACUUGUAAAAAGUGUGGGCAGUUCAAAACAAAUGCCACAGGCCAUAGCCAACUCAGGGGCAGGGUGUACUGCCCACAGACUGAAACUUUGACUAAAGAAGAGUGGCUAGAGGAAAUGAAAAGGACCAAUCCAAAAUAAUGUGUUUGUUUGUUUGUGUAUGUAUCAGAGUGUAAUAGUUCUUCAGUUCAUUCAAUUUCACUUGCUGUUAGUUUAUAUUUUUAUUUCACAUUUUCUUUAAAUAGUGUAUUUAUUUUGCUGACAUUUUAUUUAACUUUUAUAUUAUUUAUGUGUGUGUGUGUGUGUGUGUGUGUAUAGUGUUUACAGUUUAUAACCAUAAUAAUUCAAUUUAUUCUAUUUCACUUGUUGUUUUUUUGCACAUUUUACUUUUUAAUCAUUUAUUUUGUUAACAUUUUAUUU